GAUGAACGCUGGCGGCGUGCCCAAUACAUGCAAGUCGAGCGAACAGACGAGGAGCUUGCUCCUCUGACGUUAGCGGCGGACGGGUGAGUAACACGUGGAUAACCUACCUAUAAGACUGGGAUAACUUCGGGAAACCGGAGCUAAUACCGGAUAAUAUAUUGAACCGCAUGGUUCAAUAGUGAAAGACGGUUUUGCUGUCACUUAUAGAUGGAUCCGCGCCGCAUUAGCUAGUUGGUAAGGUAACGGCUUACCAAGGCAACGAUGCGUAGCCGACCUGAGAGGGUGAUCGGCCACACUGGAACUGAGACACGGUCCAGACUCCUACGGGAGGCAGCAGUAGGGAAUCUUCCGCAAUGGGCGAAAGCUUGACGGAGCAACGCCGCGUGAGUGAUGAAGGUCUUCGGAUCGUAAAACUCUGUUAUUAGGGAAGAACAAAUGUGUAAGUAACUAUGCACGUCUUGACGGUACCUAAUCAGAAAGCCACGGCUAACUACGUG
rnacentral:rRNA from 1 species